rnacentral:rRNA from 1 species
UGAGGAAUAUUGGUCAAUGGCCGGGAGGCUGAACCAGCCAAGCCGCGUGAAGGAAGAAGGCUCUGAGAGUCGUAAACUUCUUUUGCCGGGGAACAACAGCGGGGACGUGUCCCCGUACGAGUGUACCCGGAGAAAAAGCAUCGGCUAACUCCGUGCCAGCAGCCGCGGUAAUACGGAGGAUGCGAGCGUUAUCCGGAUUUAUUGGGUUUAAAGGGUGCGCAGGCGGGCUUUUAAGUCAGCGGUAAAAGACCGGAGCUCAACUCCGGCGAGCCGUUGAGACUGGAGGUCUUGAGAGGGCGAGAGGCAUGCGGAAUGCGCGGUGUAGCGGUGAAAUGCAUAGAUAUCGCGCAGAACUCCGAUUGCGAAGGCAGCAUGCCGGCGCCUGUCUGACGCUCAGGCACGAAAGCGUGGGGAUCAAACAGG